ensembl:lncRNA
CCCAGGACGCCUCUCUGUGAACCGUCCCACACCUUGAAAUGGUUCUCAUUCUACAGAAAAAUUCACAAGUGUCAUUCAUUAUAGCUGCAUUGAAAAACUGGCAUGACCUGAAUAUUAAUUAAUCACCACGGGAAAUAGACUCUUCUCUAGGUCGGGACGAUCAGAACAGCGUGUCAGCUGCUUCCUAUUAAUUACUUAUUUUCUGUAUUUGUUCACUUCGAGCUCAUCACGUGUCAAGCAGCGGUAAGAAUCCUAUUAGGGAACUCUCUGAGUGCCCCAAAUAGACGGGGGACGUUACAUAAUGAAUGGAAGUUCGUGAUCUUUCUAUCUUCAGAGGCUUUUUUGUUUCAGCAGGACUCACAUUUACCGAUGACAGUAAUUAUGAGUAGAACGUCUGCCUCGAGCUCCUGGAACAGUAUGUCCAGGUGAUAUUUCGGAACUUCUGGUAGACCUUACUAAAAAUGUCUCACCUUGCUGCUGCCACCACCCAGUCCCCAGGGAGCAGAGACUCCAGCGCCUUCCACCUAGAACCCAAGGCCACGGCUGAGGAGAGCGACACUGCCUGAGGCAUCUCCCAACAUUCUUGCUGCUUUUAGCAGGUGUGUGAGACUUCUUUUUAAAUGGUUGUUCAUGUGCAUUGGCACAUCCGUGUAAGGGCAUUGGGUCCCCUGCACCUGGAGUUACAGAGUUGUGAGCUGCCGCGUGGGUGCUGGGAAUUGAACCCAGCUCCUCUGGAAUUGAACCCAGUGCUCUUAACCUCUGAGCUGAUGACGGCGAGAACGGUGGGAAAGUCAAGGACAGUGGUUGCAAUGGCUGUGGAGCUCCUGGGUAGGAGCUCCCGUGGCUGUCUUCCCCCAAGACUGUCAAAGGGAGGAGACAAACACACGGAGGUCAGCCUUGAGUGUUGCCACUGGCGGGUCAACCGUGCUUCAGUGGAAGACCUCACAUCACGUGUGUACCAUGUUCCAGUGGAAGACCUCACAUCAUGUAUGUAUGCCUGACACAGACUAGACCAAUGGGUGGAAAUAGAGGAAGGACUCAAAGUUGUGCUGUGACUGAUGCCAAACAAAUGACUCCAACAGGUGAAGGCUACAUUUUGGCUUGUUUCUUCAGUCCCUUGCGAUGGGAAGGAAGUCCAGUGUUUGACAGAGCAGAACUCAUGCCACGGCAUCCAGGAAGCAGAGAGAACCUCUGCACUCUAGGGGCUAUCUGCUUUUCCUGGGACUUCGUUGGGGGCUCCAACCUUACACUGGGGGUGGAUCUUCACCCCUUAGAUUUCCUUUUCUAGGAAUGCACCCUGCAGCCCCUACAGAUGCCUGAGAAGUGCCUUUUGCUAACCUCAGGCACUCCUCAGUCCAGCCAAGUUGAUAAUUAAGAUUAACCAUAAGCCUUUGUCAAACUCACACCCAAGCAUAUCUCCCUAAACAAUAACACUCUGUUCCUGGCCCUGAAAAGGGUCAUGCCCUUCCCAUAAGGCAAAGUGCACGCAGUUCAUCUCCGUGGGGUCUCACAGUCUUAAUGGUUCCAAGGACCGUCCAAGUCUCCUCUAGGAGUCCAGGCAACUUCUCAGCUGUGAUCCCCAGUAACAACAAAACCAAGUUACGUGUUCCCAAGACGGCGGCACAAAGUAGACUUGCCCUUUUGGGAUUGGAAAGGAGCAAAGGGAAACGGAACCAAAGCAAGACCAAAGCCCAGCAUGGAAAACGCUAAAUCCUGGCAGCUCUCUGCCUGGCGUCCUGGUCAUGUGGUGCUGAUAUGUAACCUCCAGCAGAUGUCAACAGCUGGCCUCUGUGGUCUGGUCAGUCUCAGCCCACGUGGCGUGUCUUUGACUGACUCUGUUUGCUGCCUGUGGCUUUUUGGUGAUAGACAUUCUAAGCUCUUGACCUUUUCAACAUCCCAGGGGUCCUCACCCUUACAGCAUCACACAUCAUCCUUGGGGUGGGGGGCUGUCUUUAGGGACUCUCACCCUGUCGUGUGCAGCCUGUUCUCCCAAACCUUGCUUUGAGAUCUGUGAGAGAGCCUUCAUGAGCUGACAGCUCUGCAAAACCAGCACCACAGGACAUCCCUAAAGUUUGCCACCAGCUCCAGCGGUAGCUAAACCCCGCC